rnacentral:pre_miRNA from 1 species
UCCAUAUUAUUCUUCUUGUGCUGCUGAAGAGACUCACCGACCUCCGGCGGCGACGUCUUCUUCUUCCCAUUGAAGGUCUCGGUCUUCUCCUUCAGCUCCUGCGGCAUGGGACGACGAGGUGGAGCUCGAGUCCUCGAGGAACUUGUGCCGCAUGGGACGCCCACCAAGAAAGCCCCCCUCGUCGCCCCGCCACCGCCACCGCCGCCGCCGAACAACCAAGAGUCUGAAUCUGAUUCUGAUUCCGAUGACGGCCAAAAGUCCGAUUCCAGUGACGACGAGGCGCUGCCGGUGCCGAACCCAGCGCUUCAGGCCAACAAGAAUGUGCCUCCGUCCGAUGAUGAUGAGGAUGACGACCAAGAGUCCGAUUCCGGUGAUGCCCGAGGUCGGUGAGUCUCCUCAGCAGCACAAGAAGAAGAAUAUGGA